rnacentral:pre_miRNA from 1 species
AAACAAAAUAUAUAUUUGCCAAGUAUGCAGCACGUUGAAGUUGUUCUCGUUGUCACAACGCAUUGCAUACAUGACAAAUUUUGUUAAUUUGUA